ACAAUUAAUUCAAAUGGGUACUUACUCUCAGGUGAUCUGCAUUUCCGUUCGCCACCGGACCCGCCACGAUCACCACCUCCAACAACAAUACUUCCGGGGUUUGUAGUCACCUGACCCCGGAGGACGUCUCCAUUGGACCAGCCAAACAUGUUACUGGGGCAACCAUAGACGCCUACGUCUCAUUGGUUACACACACAUGUACAGAUGCUGGUAAGGGACAACAAAUAUUCUAAUCGGGUUGUAUGAGAAUGUUGGCAUGGCAAUCAAAGCGCAUCUCAG